GACGAACCACACAAACGUUAUUCGGAAUUACUGGGCUUAAAGGGUGCGUAGGCGGCGCGGAAAGUUGGGUGUGAAAUCCCUCGGCUCAACCGAGGAACUGCGCCCAAAACUACCGUGCUUGAGGGAGAUAGAGGUGAGCGGAACUUAGGGUGGAGCGGUGAAAUGCGUUGAUAUCCUAAGGAACACCCGUGGCGAAAGCGGCUCACUGGGUCUCUUCUGACGCUGAGGCACGAAAGCUAGGGUAGCGAACGGG
rnacentral:rRNA from 1 species